ACUUUCAACAACGGAUCUCUUGGUUCCAGCAUCGAUGAAGAACGCAGCGAAAUGCGAUAAGUAAUGUGAAUUGCAGAAUUCA
rnacentral:rRNA from 1 species